rnacentral:rRNA from 1 species
UACGAACCGUCCAAACGUUACUCGGAAUCACUGGGCUUAAAGGGUGCGUAGGCCGCGCGGAGGUGGAUGUGAAUCCCCGGCUCAACCGGGGAAUAGCGUCCCAAACCGCCGUGCUCGAGGGAGACAGAGGUGAGCGGAACUGAUGGUGGAGCGGUGAAAUGCGUUGAUAUCAUCAGGAACACCAGUGGCGAAAGCGGCUCACUGGGUCUUUCCUAACGCUGAGGCACGAAAGCUAGGGGAGCGAACGGG